GACGAACGCUGGCGGCGUGCCUAAUACAUGCAAGUCGAACGCAUUUUCUUUCACCGUAGCUUGCUACACCGAAAGAAAAUGAGUGGCGAACGGGUGAGUAACACGUGGGUAACCUGCCCAUCAGCGGGGGAUAACACUUGGAAACAGGUGCUAAUACCGCAUAAUUCCAUUUACCGCAUGGUAAAUGGAUGAACGGCGCUUUUGCGUCACUGAUGGAUGGACCCGCGGUGCAUUAGCUAGUUGGUGGGGUAACGGCCUACCAAGGCUGCGAUGCAUAGCCGACCUGGGAGGGGGGUCGGCCACACGGGGACGGAGACACGGCCCAGACUCCUACGGGAGGCAGCAGUAGGGAAUCUUCGGCAAUGGACGCAAGUCUGACCGAGCAACGCCGCGUGAGUGAAGAAGGGUUUCGGAUCGUAAAACUCUGUUGUUAGAGAAGAACAAGGAUGAGAGUGGAAAGUUCAUCCCUUGACGGUAUCUAACCAGAAAGCCACGGCUAACUACGUG
rnacentral:rRNA from 1 species